rnacentral:rRNA from 1 species
UAACCUGCCUCUUAGCGGGGGAUAACUAUUGGAAACGAUAGCUAAUACCGCAUAAAAGUCGAUAUCGCAUGAUAUUGAUUUGAAAGGUGCAAUUGCAUCACUAAGAGAUGGACCUGCGUUGUACUAGCUAGUUGGUGAGGUAACGGCUCACCAAGGCGACGAUACAUAGCCGACCUGAGAGGGUGAUCGGCCACACUGGGACUGAGACACGGCCCAG